rnacentral:rRNA from 1 species
CGGUAGCAGGAAGUGCUUGCACUUCGCUGACGAGUGGCGGACGGGUGAGUAAUACUUAGGAACAUGCCUUUGUGUGGGGGAUAACCAUUGGAAACGAUGGCUAAUACCGCAUAAUGUCUUUGGACCAAAGAGGGCUUUCGGGCUCUCGCGCAAAGAGUGGCCUAAGUGAGAUUAGCUUGUUGGUGAGGUAAAGGCUCACCAAGGCGACGAUCUCUAGCUGUUCUGAGAGGAAGAUCAGCCACACUGGGACUGAGACACGGCCCAGACUCCUACGGGAGGCAGCAGUGGGGAAUAUUGCACAAUGGGGGCAACCCUGAUGCAGCCAUGCCGCGUGUGUGAAGAAGGCCUUCGGGUUGUAAAGCACUUUCAGUUGUGAGGAAAGGUUGAUGGUUAAUACCCAUCAGCUGUGACGUUAGCAACAGAAGAAGCACCGGCUAACUCCGUGCCAGCAGCCGCGGUAAUACGGAGGGUGCGAGCGUUAAUCGGAAUUACUGGGCGUAAAGCGCACGCAGGCGGUUAUAUAAGCUAGAUGUGAAAGCCCCGGGCUCAACCUGGGAAUAGCAUUUAGAACUGUAUGACUAGAGUCUUGGAGAGGGGAGUGGAAUUCCAGG